CCGUAGGGGAACCUGCGGCUGGAUCACCUCCUUAAUCGACGACAGCAGCUGCUCCAUGAGCUCCCACACGAAUUGCUUGAUUCAUUGAAGAAGACGAUUGGGUCUGUAGCUCAGUUGGUUAGAGCGCACCCCUGAUAAGGGUGAGGUCGGCAGUUCGAAUCUGCCCAGACCCACCAAUUACUGGUGCACCCUGUAGCGAUACGGGGCCAUAGCUCAGCUGGGAGAGCGCCUGCCUUGCACGCAGGAGGUCAGCGGUUCGAUCCCGCUUGGCUCCACCAUUACCGAUUGGUGACCCUCGUUUAAAGCUUAGAAAUGAGCAUUCCAUCGACGCGAUGAUGAAUGUUGAUUUCUAGUCUUUUGAUUAGAUCGUUCUUUAAAAAU
rnacentral:tRNA from 1 species